GGCGCCCAACACAAUGCCAGCCACACUGAUAGCACGGAUCCUUUCAAAGAACAUUUAUUGAGCACCUAUGUGCCAAAAACCGAGGUGGGGUCUGUGGAGGCAGAAUCAAAUUUGGCAAAAUCUGCUAGACAAACCGAGAUGUGUCGAGGUUUAAAAAAGGGUUUGAGGACUCAGCGUCGGCGCCCCAGUUCUGAUUAGUGGAACCAGAUAUCCUAAACCCGAGUGACCAACUCCAGGCCGUUAGCGCUGCACGCUCUCCCGAUGCCCCACCCCCGAAAUGAGGCCCGCAUGCGCAUACAGCUAUCGCUCGGACGCACCCCCCGGAAGCACUGGCAGUUUCAGGGCGGGACCGGGAAGCGCUUCCGGGGGCGGGCGGCACAGGCUGAGGCGGUCGGCUGCGACAACUUGAACGGGCUGGGUGCUGCCGGCGGAGAGGGCCCCACGGACGGGCUAUGUGAGCGCGAAGUCCUUGAAGUCGAUGUUAUUUUAAAUUGAAGCAGCACCAAGAAAUGGAUCUCUUUUCCGCAUUCAUUCUUACUGCUUUUUGAUGACCAUGACAUAAGGAACUUUAUGCCAAGAAUACAUCUUUGCAUUAGGUAAGCUAUAAACUUGCUCAUAAUUACAAUUUUUAACUGUAUUUAUUGCAAUGGUUUCUUUUUCAACCAAA
rnacentral:lncRNA from 1 species